AACAAUAUCCUGGUGCUGAGUGGUGACAAGGCGACUCCAGCAUCAGUGAUUUUGUUGA
rnacentral:pre_miRNA from 1 species